UUUCCGUAGGUGAACCUGCGGAAGGAUCAUUAUCGAAUUUCGAGGGGAAGGAAGAUGAGGAGUGGAGACUGUCGCUGGCUCUCCCGCCUGGGAAGCAUGUGCACGCCUUGCUUUUCGUUGACCUUUCUCUUACUCUCACACCUGUGCACCCAUUGUAGGUCCUCGAAAGAGGAUCUAUGUUUUUAUCAUCACACGCAUCGUAUGUCCAUAGAAUGUAACAUGAUCGUCGAUCGACCUCGCGGUCGGGUGGCGGUCUAAAUAAAUAAAUACAACUUUCAGCAACGGAUCUCUUGGCUCUC
rnacentral:misc_RNA from 1 species